AGUGAACGCUGGCGGUAGGCCUAACACAUGCAAGUCGAACGGCAGCACAGUAAGAGCUUGCUCUUACGGGUGGCGAGUGGCGGACGGGUGGGGAAUACAUCGGAAUCUACUUUUUCGUGGGGGAUAACGUAGGGAAACUUACGCUAAUACCGCAUACGACCUACGGGUGAAAGCAGGGGAACUUCGGACCUUGAGCGCUUCAAUGAGCCCGUGUCGGAUUAGCUAUUUGGCGGGGUAAAGGCCCACCCAGGCGACGAUCCAUAUCCGGUCUGAGAGGAGGGACGGCCACACUGGGACUGGGACACGGGCCAGACUCCCACGGGAGGGAGCAGGAGGGGAACAUCGGCAAAGGACGGAAGUCUGACCGAGCAACGCCGGGGGAGGGGAGAAGGGUUUCGGAUCGGAAAGGUCUGUUGUAAGGGGAGAACGAGUGUGAGGGUGGAAAGUUCACGUUGUGACGGUAUCUUACCAGAAAGGGACGGCUAACUACGUG
rnacentral:rRNA from 1 species